GCACUGCCGAGGAGUCCCACAACAAAACGAAACAGCUGUCCAGUGC
rfam:Schistosoma haematobium scaffold1120_15, whole genome shotgun sequence.